rnacentral:rRNA from 1 species
UACGAAGGGGGCUAGCGUUGCUCGGAAUCACUGGGCGUAAAGCGCACGUAGGCGGGCUCUUAAGUCAGGGGUGAAAUCCCGGGGCUCAACCCCGGAACUGCCUUUGAUACUGGUAGUCUCGAGUCCGGAAGAGGUGAGUGGAAUUCCGAGUGUAGAGGUGAAAUUCGUAGAUAUUCGGAGGAACACCAGUGGCGAAGGCGGCCAGCUGGGCCGUCCCUGACGCUGAGGCGCGAAGGCGUGGGGAGCGAACGGG